rnacentral:rRNA from 1 species
GACGAACGCUGGCGGCGUGCCUAAUACAUGCAAGUAGAACGCUGAAGGAAGGAGCUUGCUCUUUCCGGAUGAGUUGCGAACGGGUGAGUAACGCGUAGGUAACCUGCCUGGUAGCGGGGGAUAACUAUUGGAAACGAUAGCUAAUACCGCAUAACAGUAGAUAUUGCAUGAUAUCUGCUUGAAAGGUGCAAUUGCACCACUACCAGAUGGACCUGCGUUGUAUUAGCUAGUUGGUGAGGUAACGGCUCACCAAGGCGACGAUACAUAGCCGACCUGAGAGGGUGAUCGGCCACACUGGGACUGAGACACGGCCCAGACUCCUACGGGAGGCAGCAGUAGGGAAUCUUCGGCAAUGGACGGAAGUCUGACCGAGCAACGCCGCGUGAGUGAAGAAGGUUUUCGGAUCGUAAAGCUCUGUUGUAAGAGAAGAACGAGUGUGAGAGUGGAAAGUUCACAC